rnacentral:lncRNA from 1 species
GUCACCUAAAUUAUAAAGUGAGACAUUGUGAAAGUGGCGAUUUUUUUAUUUUUUAUUUUUUAUUUUAAUUAUGAAAGAAACGAAAUAUAAGAGGUUUACUAUGUUCAAUGAAUUCACUUAAUUGCAUAGAUUUAAGGAGAUGAAACAUUUAAUUUUAUGUUCAUGUAUUUAAUUUAUGGCCUAGAAAAAUGAAAAGACAUUGAAUUUAUAUUCAUAGUAUAUUAAAUUUAGUAUUUUAAAAUAAUAAACUUU